rnacentral:lncRNA from 1 species
UUCAUCCAAACCUAGUUACCCUGUAUCAACAAAUUAGAGAACUUCCAUUGAAAUUUUUCUCAUUGCUGCCUUUGGAAAAAAGCCCCUCCGAUUGCCGGCCCAAAAAUUUGUCGGCGUUGUAGAGAACCCUAAUCGAAUGAGAGCAACGGCAACAUCUGCUAUUGUAAGCUCUUUAUUUCUUCCUUCGUUCCAAUUUUUAGAUGUUUGUGAAGUGUUUUUAGAAAGGGGAAGAAUAUCUGAUUUAAAUGUGUAUGUAAUUGCAUUUCUUUGAUGUAUUGUGACUUGGGAGAAAUAACUAUAUUCUAUUGGAGGGUUUUUUACCCAGAGAUAUUUCGAGAGGUCAAAACGAGGAGAACAAAGCAACAAUUCAGUACACUUAGAUUAUUAAUUUACUAUUAAGUAAUGGUUUUUUCGAUCAUUUACUGAAAGUUCAUAAUCUUGCAGUUUCGUCGGUUCAUCCUUCUUACAAAUUAGUCUCUCUGUUUCAUGUGGUAUGUUCUUCAAUAGCCUUUAAUAAUUGUUCUAAUUCAAUAUUGAAACUGCUGUCAAAUAUUCAAAGUUGCUAAGAAUUGUUCGUAUUGAUGGUAUGACAUUUUCGUUUCCAAUCACAGAGAAUUGGCAAGACACAAAUUCCACCAAAUAAAUUGAUGAUUGGGAGUUUAUCACUCAGUAGAACAAGGUAAUGAUAUUUAUCAAGUAGAUAAAUGCGUUUCUCGAGCCACACAAUAGAAAAUAAAUAAAAUUGCAAUAUUUUGUUCUUUUUACUAUUAACAUGCUAUUAAUAUAGUAAUAUUGUAGAAAUCAUGUAUUUUUCCUCAUUUAAUUUUUCAUAAGAAUGUCACAGGGUCUCAUGUGCUUGAAACUAAUUAGUGAUGUGGUUUACUUUUGGACAUUUGCAUAUACUGGAAAUGUUUACUAUGUGGAGAAAAUACGCUCCUUAUUGAAGUUUUAAAUCUUUUUAUAUAAUUACUCUACCUUUUAUUUUGGUCAUAUCAAAUUAGUUUUGCUUAUUGGUUCUUCUGUGUUUCCAGUCAGUACAAGUGGCCAAAGAUCCUACCAUAUGUUAAAAUCACACACGGUGAAUUGAUUUUACUCUUACAGAUUGCUUGAUUUUCUCAAGUAUAAGCUCUAUCAAUCUUUUUUUCUUUUAAUUUCAUAUUAUCUAUUUCUCUAAUAUGUCAUAAAUUUUCUUCUAUUUUGCUAGAUGUCAGCCAUUUCAGUAGCAUGAUCUUUAAACGUUAAUGGGAUGAAUUUUUUUUCUUGGCUGAAAGUUUGAAUGGAGAUUCAAGUUAAGUUUGCUAUUCUCACUUCUCAAUUUCGUUUUAUCUUCUCUAUCAUUUGUUUCUUCUCCUGGUAAUAUAAAUUUUCAACAGCAUGUCUACAUUUGAAGCUAAAUAUUAUACCUAAGUAGUCAUUAGCAUCUAAGUUGUCUUCUUAGCUUAAGUCACUGUUUGGCUAAUUACAUGUAUGUUGUCUUUCUUUUAUGAGCUAGAUUUUAGGAUGGGAUUCAAGUGAAGCAUGAAGACCCAAGCACGAGGAUCUCGCGAGAGAACAUUGUACUGAAUAUAAGACUGACUAGCAUGCUUUUGGAAGACUACUAUUAGAAUUGGUAAUUCAAGUUUAUAAUAUUGUGCACUGAUUUUGUAUGAAUGAUACUUUUAUUGGUAUAUAACAUAUUAAUAGGUAUUAAAUUAUGGCAUUGAUACGUGUAGUGUGUG